GCACAAGCGGUGGAUGAUGUGGUUUAAUUCGAUGCAACGCGAAAAACCUUACCCACCUUUGACAUGUACGGAAUCCUUUAGAGAUAGAGGAGUGCUCGAAAGAGAACCGUAACACAGGUGCUGCAUGGCUGUCGUCAGCUCGUGUCGUGAGAUGUUGGGUUAAGUCCCGCAACGAGCGCAACCCUUGUCAUUAGUUGCUACAUUCAGUUGGGCACUCUAAUGAGACUGCCGGUGACAAACCGGAGGAAGGUGGGGAUGACGUCAAGUCCUCAUGGCCCUUAUAGGUGGGGCUACACACGUCAUACAAUGGCUGGUACAGAGGGUUGCCAACCCGCGAGGGGGAGCCAAUCCCAUAAAGCCAGUCGUAGUCCGGAUCGCAGUCUGCAACUCGACUGCGUGAAGUCGGAAUCGCUAGUAAUCGCGGAUCAGAAUGUCGCGGUGAAUACGUUCCCGGGUCUUGUACACACCGCCCGUCACACCAUGGGAGCGGGUUCUGCCAGAAGUAGUUAGCCUAACCGCAAGGAGGGCGAUUACCACGGCAGGGUUCGUGACUGGGGUGAAGUCGUAACAAGGUAACC
rnacentral:rRNA from 1 species